GGAAAUGUGCCCGAUUUAAAAGGAUUACUUUGAUAGAGUAAAAUAUAAGAGUUAAAGUCUCUUUGUUUCCU
rnacentral:tRNA from 1 species